rnacentral:rRNA from 1 species
AGAGAGAGACAUGCGCGCAUAUCAAUAAGCGGAGGAAAAGAAACUAACAAGGAUUCCCCUAGUAACGGCGAGUGAAGCGGGAAGAGCUCAAAUUUGAAAUCUUAAAGGGUUUCCCUUUACGAAUUGUAGUUUAAAGAAGUGUUUUCUGUUGAGGUUUUGGUAAAAGUUCUUUGGAAUAGGACAUCAUAGAGGGUGAGAAUCCCGUAUUUGACCUUUACUUUCAACUUUGUGAUACACUUUCAAAGAGUCGGAUUGUUUGGGAAUGCAGUCCAAAAUGGGUGGUAAAUUUCAUCUAAAGCUAAAUAUUGGCGAGAGACCGAUAGCGAACAAGUACCGUGAGGGAAAGAUGAAAAGAACUUUGAAAAGAGAGUUAAACAGUACGUGAAUUGUCAAAAGGGAAGCGUUUGACACCAGUGUUGUUUUUCUGAAAAUCAAUUAAAGAACUGUUUAUGCUAAGCUGUUUAGACUUUAUCAGCUAAUCUGUUUAGUUUUGAGCUUUUCUUUAAUGCACUUUUCAGUUAACAAGUCAACAUCAAUUUCUUUUGCUGUAAAAAAGCUUGAGGAAGGUGGCUUGAGAUUCGUCUUAAGUGUUUAUAGCCUCUUGCCUAUGCAGUCGGAGAGAUUGAGGUCUGCAGCGUAGAUCCUUCGGGGCUAAAUGCAUUUGUGCUAAGUUAUAGCAUUUUAUAGACAACUUGUUGACUAUGAUUUGUCUUGUAGCUUACUCGCUUAUGUUAUUUUACCUACGCUUAGGAUGUUGAGCGCAUGUCUCUCUCU